UACGUAGGGUGCGAGCGUUGUCCGGAAUUAUUGGGCGUAAAGGGCGCGUAGGCGGCCCGCUAAGUCGAACGUGAAAUCCCCGAGCUCAACUCGGGAACUGCGUCCGAUACUGGCGGGCUUGAAUCCGGGAGAGGGAUGCGGAAUUCCAGGUGUAGCGGUGAAAUGCGUAGAUAUCUGGAGGAAUACCGGUGGCGAAGGCGGCAUCCUGGACCGGCAUUGACGCUGAGUGAGCGAAAGCUAGGGGAGCAAACGGG
rnacentral:rRNA from 1 species